GCCCAGGUGAUGAAAUUGGUAGACAUGCAAGGUUGAGGGCCUUGUGGGAGUAUAAUCCCGUGCAGGUUCGAGUCCCGUCCUGGGCACAA
rnacentral:tRNA from 1 species